rnacentral:rRNA from 1 species
UACGGAGGUUCCUAGCGUUGUUCGGAUUUACUGGGCGUAAAGGGAGCGCAGGCGGAUAGGUCAGUGAAAAGUGGAAUUCCGGGGCUCAACCUCGGACGUGCUUUUCAUACUGCCUGUCUUGAGUUCGUGAGAGGAAGGCGGAAUUCAGGGUGUAGCGGUGAAAUGCUUAGAUAUCCUGAGGAACACCGGUGGCGAAAGCGGUCUUCUGGCACGAUACUGACGCUGAGGCUCGAAAGCGUGGGGAGCGAACGGGAUUAGAUACCCCGGUAGUCCACGCUGUAAACGUUGUGCACUAGGUGUGUGAGGUAUCGACCCCUUACGUGCCGCAGCAAACGCAUUAAGUGCACCGCCUGGGGAGUACGGUCGCAAGACUGAA